AGGUGACCUGCGGAGGWCAUUA
rnacentral:rRNA from 1 species